CCCGCCUCAGCCUCGCGGCCGGUGGAGCGGCCUCGGCGGGGAUUCCCCUCCCGAUGGGGCGGCCACGGGCCGGGCUGGGCCGCUUGGCGGUGAGGGGGCGGCGGGAGCCCUCGGCGGGACGAGUGCGGGGGAUGUUGACGGGGCUGUGCAACGCUCCUCCUCUCGGCCUUGAUGCCUUCCACCCCGUGUGAAGCCUUUUGACUCCACUGCUUUACUUUCACCCAGAGUCCAGAGAAGAUCCAUGACGCUGGAACGGUGUGAUUGAAAGUUAGGAUUUCACUAACAGGGGAUGGAGGACCUUCCAGAAUGCCGCUUGCAGCAGUGGAAUGACUGACCCCCUUGGAGAAACGUAGGCUGUCUCCUUUUGAAGCUUGAAAGGCUUUGUUGAGCUCUCCAGUCAAAGGCACUUGUUUUAUCUUAAAACUUCCCAUGUUCUAGUAGGACUAGGAAGCUCAGUAGAGAACUGCCCACAUGGAAGUUGCUUACAGUGAUCAAGGAACAGAUGGCGGAGUCUGAGGCUCAUCACUCUUUCUUAAUUAAGGGCCAGCUUAAAGUGUGGUUUGAGGACUCCAAAAAAGCACUGCAAUUCCUCGGUGUGUGGAUGCGCAAUUCAGAGACAACAGCAAAGUUAACGGCCAAGCUCCUUAUUCAGCCUUAGACAACCUUCUUAUGAAGAUCAACGAGCAAUCUUCAAGCUGCAGGAACCACAUAAACCUAAAUGCCUGCUCCAGCCCACAGAGUUGGAACAGGACGUGACUUUUCCUUCACAAUGAACUUGCCACCUUCAGUUCAGUUCAUUACUUGGCUCCAGCUGUUACUGUGCUCAGAAGUUACAUGCUGGAUUCCAGAAUUACUCCAAGAGGGUUGCUGCUAUAUUGGGUCAGCUCAGAUGCAGGCCAAAGCGGAAGUUAUCCUGGAACUCACUUGCAGCAACAGACAGGAUAAAUGUCCUCCCCUGCAGUGUAAUUCACUUAGAUGUUACUAAAUGUUUUAAAUGUUGUUCAGGUAUUACUAAGUUUAAUUAAAGGUCAUCUUCCUUCUCUAUCAGGAAUGGGUCAGCACCCAACGAAGAGCAGUUACACACUGUUUCAGAUUUGGCUUUCUCUAUCAGUCACUAUUAAUUCUAUGAUUGCUAGCACAGUACCUUCUGUGCAUUCUCUAGAGCCUAUUUUCCUGAAUCAGAUACUUAUUCAGAGCAUAAGAAAUAACUGUAUUUUCCAUACUCUUCCUUGAAAUUCUAAUGAUGCAUCAGUUUCUUUCUGCCUUAGUCUCUCUUCCACUACAUUAUCUAAAAUGCCACUGUUUCAAUUUUAUAUUCACUUACUCCCGACCCAAUAAACUUAGCUGUUUCCCUGAUUCUGCACAUGCAUUCUUCAUUGCCUGCUUGUUCUGCAUACAUCACUUUUGUUGCUGCUUUUUUUCCACAUCUACCUUCACUCCUAGCUGUCCUAUUUAGAGUACCUUGAUUCUUUACAUUUCCACAGUUCAGGAAAAUGUGGAAAUGGGCAGGGAUAAAAUUUUGUUAACUCUACCUGAGAAACAGCUUUAGAAAUUCUUUAUUAACUUUCCUUUCUGUAUCAGCUAAGGCAACUCCUAUUCACACCACUGUUCUUUGAAUAUGAUCUAAAAUUAAACA